rnacentral:misc_RNA from 1 species
UCUUCUUUUUCUUUUUAUUUUUUUUU